GUAUGGUUUGGAAAAAGUUUGUGAAUAGACGGGGCUAAUUUCUUUAGCAGGUGAAUGUGUGUUUCCCUUUCUUUGCAGAAUGGAAAGGACUUGGUGCAGGAGGUGGCCAAGCUCCGUCGCUCUCUGGAUGAUGCCGAGGGCGUGAGCAGAGACACAAAGAAGGAAUGGGCACACCUACGUAGCCAGAACAUUGCUCUGCAGGAGACAAAUUUGACUCUAUCUACUGAUCAUGAGAAGAUGGAAGCUGAAGUUAACAGCCUGCGUUUCAACCUUGAGAACGGGAAGUUGCGCUACAAGAACAUGCAAAGCGAUCUCCAGAAAGAGUUAAAUAUUGCUUUUGAAGAGAACACAAGGCUCACCACUCUGCUGGCUGGCAAAGUUCCUAAAAAUCUGAUUGACAGUUUGGAACGUGAGCGAGCCGUGGCCUGUCUAAAUAAGGAGCUGUCGGCAUCCCGUCAAGCAGAGGAAGUUCUCAGAGCUCAGCUGGAGACUCUUCCAGGGAAGGUGGACACCCUAACCGAGCAGCUGCUGGAGAUGGAGCAGCACAAAGCCUCACUGGAGGGCAAAGUGAGUGAGAUGCAGCAGAUGAUAAAGGAUGUGUCGGAAAAGCUUGCUCACAGUGAAACCUGCAGAGGCACAGAGGAGGACAUCAGCAGAGAACUUCAGGAACAAGUAAGACACCAAGGAUGA
rnacentral:lncRNA from 1 species